rnacentral:tRNA from 1 species
GGAGAGGUGCAGGAGUGGCUUAACUGGCACGCCUGGAAAGCGUGUGUACGUGAAAGCGUACCGUGGGUUCGAAUCCCACCCUCUCCG